GACGAACGCUGGCGGCGUGCUUAACACAUGCAAGUCGAACGGAAAGGCCCUGCUUUUGUGGGGUGCUCGAGUGGCGAACGGGUGAGUAACACGUGAGUAACCUGCCCUUGACUUUGGGAUAACUUCAGGAAACUGGGGCUAAUACCGGAUAGGAGCUCCUGCUGCAUGGUGGGGGUUGGAAAGUUUCGGCGGUUGGGGAUGGACUCGCAGCUUAUCAGCUUGUUGGUGGGGUAGUGGCUUACCAAGGCUUUGACGGGUAGCCGGCCUGAGAGGGUGACCGGCCACAUUGGGACUGAGAUACGGCCCAGACUCCUACGGGAGGCAGCAGUGGGGAAUACUGCACAAUGGGCGGAAGCCUGAUGCAGCAACGCCGCGUGCGGGAUGACGGCCUUCGGGUUGUAAACCGCUUUCGCCUGUGACGAAGCGUGAGUGACGGUAAUGGGUAAAGAAGCACCGGCUAACUACGUG
rnacentral:rRNA from 1 species